UCCAGGAAGAUCACACACAGCCGUCACCCACAGGCUGCAGUGCUUGGUUACCACUGCACCAUGAUGACAAGGGUGGCCCAGGAGGCACACCUGCAGGCACGCUGGCAGGACUCAGCGCAGAGAAACCAGGCCACCCAGCAACAUCAGAGCCGCCAGGAGCGCACACGGCAACCAGGCCUUACCUCGAGCUCUGAGGAAAAGCACGUGGAUGGGUGUUAAGACCCACCUGGUGCAGAUCAUGACGGGCUCUGCUGUAGUCCAGGCUGAGUGUGCAGAGGAGAAAUGGUAUACGGCCUGCAGCCUGGGACCUAGAAGGGAGACUUCAAGACAGAUCUCGCUCGGUGACUAAUCUUCCCUUCUGCCAGUUUAGCUCUCUAGAACUAUCUGAAGAUGCGGGGUAGUGAGGUGGGGGAAGGAAGCUGCUCAGACAUUGCCUGACCCCAGACUCUGUCUUCCCCUACCAGAGCAGCUCCCUAUGAGGAGGAUUCAGCAUGGGUCCCAGGAAGCAGGCUAUGGGGCUCCAAUAAACAGGACAGACCAUA